GCGACAAAAAUGGGUACGCCACCCCUCCUCUCGAUCCAUCCCCUCUGGCUGCGUUUUCUCUUUCCCUCGUCUCCCACUCCAUCGCCGCCGCCGCAUCUCCCGCUCCGCCGCUGCCCCUACUGCUCCACCGGACCGGCCUCUUCUUCGAGCGCGGCGGCAGGAGCAGCUCCACCUCUCCACUCCCCCACGCAAGAACGCUCCUAGCCCCACCAACAUGCCCGACCGCCACUAGGGUUUCUUACCCUCGCUGCCCCGCUGCCACCUCUCCUCACUUUUCCCCACCGCUGUCUGGAGCUACUUCGUCGACGGCGUCAAUGGGGGCUUUCGCGAGACCUCCUGGCCUUCUGCCACCGCCGCCAAGUUUGUCCCCAGGCUGACAUACUACGAUCGGGACGCCGUCGGAUCCUCUGUCGUGGGCCCACGUCCUAGUCCUCUCCUUCCUCUCACAGUUCAUGUAGCCCCUACAUCCUCUCCUGAUUGUCCAGCCUCCACACGCGAAGCCACCGAGGCAGGAAUCGGAAGUGCCAGUCUGUGCAUCGUGUUCUCACGCCAACCCCAAGGUCGUCUUGCUGCCCUGUUGCAAGAAUUAUGUGUAUCUUUUCAGUAUCAGUCUGACAGAUUCAUGUGUAUCUUUCCAGUAUUCAAAAUUAGGCAAUUCAAGUGAUACAUAUAUUGUUUGGAAUUUCGUUGCUAGGCCAUGAUCAGUUCAAUUUAUCCAUCAUUUAAUCUUUUCAUUUUUCAAGAUGUACAAUAGUUACUUCUAUGGAAUUGUAUUAACAAGAUUAUAUUCAGCUUCGUUAAUGUCCAGAUGCAAGUUGAUGAAUGACUGUUCAUUUUACUUGAGAAGAACUAAUUCACAUGUUCAAGAACAACCGCAGGAGUAUAAUUUCAUAAGCCUUUGUACUAAAUGCAACAUCCACGUGAUGAAUUACAGUUUAUUUGGAUGGUACUAUCUCUAUUUUUUGGUGAUGUCGAUAAAAGGAUAAAUACAUUUUCUCUCAAUAUUUUAUUUGCAUCUUGUCGUCGUCGAAUUGGAGGCGUAAAUGUAUUUUCUUUAGGUAACUCGAAGCCCAGACCAACAUAAAGUGUACUGCGUUCAAGCUAAAAUUCUUUGCAUAAAAUAGUGUGAACCAAAUAAUCCUAGGUAUCUUGAUAUAAUGGUUUCUGAAGGCUUGGAAAUCACACAACUUGCCUUGGAUGCUUAUUAACUUAUAGUAUUAUAAACUGUCAUUGUAAAGGUGGUUGCCUGUCAUUGUAAAGGUGGUUGCCUCUGUACCGAAUUGCUCCUCAAUUUUAUAGAUUCGAGCUGUUGUUUAUGCUCAUAGGACUACUAGAGAAGAUUUACAUGUAGCCAGAGAAGAAGACUGAUAAAGAUCUUGAUUGUAUCAGGCUAUGAUUUGGAGAGGUCGCUCUUGAUUUUAUUUGCCUGUGCCACUGGAUGUGUACAUGUACUUUAGUUGGAAUGUGUGCAUCAUCUAAUUUUGACUCAAUCUAGGUAGAAAUAAAAUGUAUGCAACCAAAGGGAACAUCAUAUAUUGUUUGUUGCCAAUGUACGAUACCUAAGCCUGAACACUAACCUAAGGUUCAUGUUUCUCCUUCUUAGCUUAUUUUAAGAGGAACCGGGCAUGUUUGCUUCUGUCUUUCUUCAUUGGCUAACAAGCAAAUUUUCUAGCUUUCGCAAACUCUUCUUGUUGCAGCGGAUGAGUUGGAUAUGCCAUUCCUCAAUGUGUACCUGGAUUCUCUUUGGGCACCUAAUUUUUGGGUAGGUGUUAAUUUUGCUCAAACUGUCUGUUUUAUUAUUCUAGCAGCCCGCUUCACUUUGGUCUUCAGAUUAAGCAAUUCUCUGUAUUCAAGGGAAAGGUCAAUAGCUGCUCUCUAAAGGUAUGCCAAAUUAACAGGUUGUCUUGUCACCAUACCUUUUGAUUAUCUGCAAUGCAAAUAAAAGUAGAAAAAACUUCUGAAGUAUCCUAGAAGAAGCUCUCAGUUGUAAUGAGACCUUUCAACUUAAACUAGGAUAUGACUUGCCAUCUGUUGUAAAAGUGGACAUAAUGUUGACUCACAAUCGUGUUAGUGAAAGACCAACUGAUUUCUUAUAUUUCAUUCGAGUAAUUUUGACUGUACAAUGACACAUUAGCCAUAAGUCAUAACACAUCUAGAAUUCAUGUAUUGAAUGCAAUCGUGAAACCUGAACCUUGAUGUUGUAUUAGAUCUGUGAUUAUCCUGUUUAUACAAACUUUUUUUGGUGCCGCCACGCCGGUCCGUAUUCAUCUGCUGCGUCAGGUUGGCCACAACGAGGAGAUGGACGCGACCGCGUUGUCCCAUCGACCUCUGGGGCAACACGUCAUCUACCCAAUCCCGACAAUGGCGCCCCCUCAGGCCGAUUCCCCUCGCUGGGAGGUGCCUGCUGACGCAUCCCCGUCACUUUUUUGACCUUGCUCUCUUCGUGUCUCCUCUUAUUUAUAAUUGUAGUAAAGUUUCAGGUGUUUUUGGGAAAUCAUGGGCACACAAUCGCCUGUAGACCUCUUGCUGUUAGUUUGUGUGCCUAUGAGCUGGUAAAUUCCUUCCUCCGAUUGUGCCAGAACAAACCAAUGAAUUGUUUUAAUAAUAUGUAGCACCACUCAGUUUUGAAAAAUUGGAAUUGUGAGAUGCGGGUUUUAACUUUUAAGAACAUCCAGGGCACAUCUUUUCUUGGAAUGCAGUUAGCUCGGUGGUGGUCAUCUGAGAUGUCAGUGGCACCUGAAGAUGUAUCAAAAUCUGUUGCACAAAGUAAAGGAGCACUGAGGACAGCGACUUCCAUCUUGGCCUGUAUGAUGCUGGUUCGGCCGUGGCCUUUGAUAUCUCAGGGUGUGUGUCCUGUUAUGUUGGGUUUCCUCUGAUUUGGGUGUGGCUAGCUACAUAGCGUCCGUGGGCCAUGCGUGUGACAUGCAUGCUAGGUAAUUAUGACUCCGGUGCGGCGGUGCCGGAACCGCCUCCGCUGGGUACGACCGUCGUGGCUAUGCUUGAAGUCAGAAUCACCACGAUGACUGUAGUGGCCGCACUCAGAUAAGAGAGGCAGCCACGGUAUAUGAUCAAGCCUUUGUUGUCGUCCUCUGAAUUUGGGAUCACGUGCACCUGCAAGAGAAAGAGCAUGAGAGCCUAAGAUGGUAGUACAACGUUACGAACAAGUUGAUUUUUAUCCAUGGAAUUGAUUUGAUGCGAAGCUGAUGCCACAUAAAAGGUCAACUGAGUUCUUAUCUCCAAUAUGUCAUAAUGUCACAGUUCAAUUAUUUUCACAUCUCUAGCCACUAUGCAUGGAAGGUGUGUGCUAAUUUGCACAAUGAUCUUUUCUGAUAAAAUACGCUGACAUUACCUUCAUUUUUUCACGUUUUAGUGAUGUCCUCUUAUUAAUCCCUUCUAUAAUCAAAGCUGUAUUUGUUCAUCUAAGUAUCUCACUGCAAGUGGAAGAACAAGAUUCAGCGUGUGCAACGGCAACAAUAAAUAACAUGUCAUUAGGGAGACUUCUGACAAUUGAACCCUGCAUUUUUUUGGCAUUAGUACAAGUGUUCUGCUGCAUUAUUCAACUAUGCGCAAUGAAGCUGAUAUAGGGUAUGGACUAGACAAUUUAUUCAGGUUUUUUUCAGGAAGGUAUGCAGAUUGGGCAUCAAAGUAGACGACAAAGGAUGACAAACGAUGACAUUCUGCACCUUACAACUUAAAAAUUGAUUGAUACUUUCUAUUUUAUAUUGAUGCAA